rnacentral:tRNA from 1 species
GCCGGUGUGGUGGAACUGGUAGACACGCAGGAUUUAGGUUCCUGUGUCCUUGGACGUGCAGGUUCGAGUCCUGUCACCGGCACCC